AGCGAACGCUGGCGGCAGGCCUAACACAUGCAAGUCGAACGAACCUUUCGGGGUUAGUGGCGGACGGGUGAGUAACACGUGGGAACGUGCCUUUAGGUUCGGAAUAACUCAGGGAAACUUGUGCUAUACCGAAUGUGCCCUUCGGGGGAAAGAUUUAUCGCCUUUAGAGCGGCCCGCGUCUGAUUAGCUAGUUGGUUGAGGUAAUGGCUCACCAAGGCGACGAUCAGUAGCUGGUCUGAGAGGAUGAUCAGCCACAUUGGGACUGAGACACGGCCCAAACUCCUACGGGAGGCAGCAGUGGGGAAUCUUGCGCAAUGGGCGAAAGCCUGACGCAGCCAUGCCGCGUGAAUGAUGAAGGUCUUAGGAUUGUAAAAUUCUUUCACCGGGGACGAUAAUGACGGUACCCGGAGAAGAAGCCCCGGCUAACUUCGUG
rnacentral:rRNA from 1 species